rnacentral:rRNA from 1 species
AUUGAACGCUGGCGGCAUGCCUUACACAUGCAAGUCGAACGGCAGCACGGGAGCUUGCUCCUGGUGGCGAGUGGCGAACGGGUGAGUAAUGCAUCGGAACGUACCCAGGAGUGGGGGAUAACUAUCCGAAAGGAUGGCUAAUACCGCAUAUUCUGUGAGCAGGAAAGCGGGGGAUCGCAAGACCUCGCGCUCUUGGAGCGGCGGAUGUCGGAUUAGCUAGUUGGUGAGGUAAAGGCUCACCAAGGCGACGAGCCGUAGCAGGUCUGAGAGGAUGAUCUGCCACACUGGGACUGAGACACGGCCCAGACUCCUACGGGAGGCAGCAGUGGGGAAUUUGGACAAUGGGGGCAACCCUGAUCCAGCCAUGCCGCGUGAGUGAAGAAGGCCUUCGGGUUGUAAAGCUCUUUCGGCGGGGAAGAAAUAGCAACGGCUAAUAUCCGUUGUUGAUGACGGUACCCGCAUAAGUAGCACCGGCUAACUACGUGCCAGCAGCCGCAGUAA